CGUUAGGUAAUUGCAACGUCAGUGUCUACGUGUAGGAAGUAACCAACUCACCUCAGAUAACUACAAUACUGGUCAAAAACAGGUGGUACGCAUGGUUUCAAUGUCAAUGCAGAUUUUUGACAUAUAACAUAGUGGGCAAAUGCCUUUGAUUACCCUCGGGCCCGUACCUGCUAAAUGGCGGUCAAAUAACAUUGAAAUUAGGCGAGGGAGGAAUUGGAAAUUCGAGUUUAUUUCUGUUCCUCUGUGGUUUGCUGAGAUAUAUUGACCAGUAUUGCAGCCUACCUUUUGGAAUACAUUGUUUGGAAAUUUAUAAACAAAGUGUCCAAGAACAAUG